rnacentral:rRNA from 1 species
AUGAACGCUGGCGGCGUGCCUAAUACAUGCAAGUCGAGCGAACGGACGAGAAGCUUGCUUCUCUGAUGUUAGCGGCGGACGGGUGAGUAACACGUGGAUAACCUACCUAUAAGACUGGGAUAACUUCGGGAAACCGGAGCUAAUACCGGAUGAUAUUUUGAACCGCAUGGUUCAAAAGUGAAAGACGGUCUUGCUGUCACUUAUAGAUGGAUCCGCGCUGCAUUAGCUAGUUGGUAAGGUAACGGCUUACCAAGGCAACGAUGCAUAGCCGACCUGAGAGGGUGAUCGGCCACACUGGAACUGAGACACGGUCCAGACUCCUACGGGAGGCAGCAGUAGGGAAUCUUCCGCAAUGGGCGAAAGCCUGACGGAGCAACGCCGCGUGAGUGAUGAAGGUCUUUGGAUCGUAAAACUCUGUUAUUAGGGAAGAACAUAUGUGUAAGUAACUGUGCACAUCUUGACGGUACCUAAUCAGAAAGCCACGGCUAACUACGUG